rnacentral:ncRNA from 1 species
AUGCAGGUAUUGCGCAGCUUUCUAGUGAAAAUUAGAAAUGAUAACUUGGCUAAUUCGGGGAAGUCCUUCGGUAAACUCAGGAUUAUAAUCCCGAGUGAAGUCGUGGGAUAAUCCCGAGCUAAAUCUCCGCCAUGGCGGGGUAAAUGUGUAGAGACUAUAUACCAGGGACCUAAAUCCUGCUUUGCAGGGCAAGGUCAUAAGAUAGUCCAAACCUUUAAGUAAUUAGAGG